rnacentral:rRNA from 1 species
GACGAACGCUGGCGGCGUGCUUAACACAUGCAAGUCGAACGAUGAAGCCUAGCUUGCUAGGUGGAUUAGUGGCGAACGGGUGAGUAAUACGUGAGUGACCUACCUUUGACUCUGGGAUAAGCCUGGGAAACUGGGUCUAAUACCGGAUACGACCAAUCUCCGCAUGGGGUGUUGGUGGAAAGCGUUAUGGAGUGGUUUUAGAUGGGCUCACGGCCUAUCAGCUUGUUGGUGAGGUAAUGGCUUACCAAGGCGACGACGGGUAGCCGGCCUGAGAGGGUGACCGGCCACACUGGGACUGAGACACGGCCCAGACUCCUACGGGAGGCAGCAGUGGGGAAUAUUGCACAAUGGGCCCAAGCCUGAUGCAGCGACGCCGCGUGAGGGAUGACGGCCUUCGGGUUGUAAACCUCUGUUAGCAUCGAAGAAGCGAAAGUGACGGUAGGUGCAGAGAAAGCGCCGGCUAACUACGUGCCAGCAGCCGCGGUAAUACGUAGGGCGCGAGCGUUGUCCGGAAUUAUUGGGCGUAAAGAGCUUGUAGGCGGUUAGUCGCGUCUGCUGUGAAGGCUGGGGCUUAACCCUGGUUUUGCAGUGGGUACGGGCUAACUAGAGUGCAGUAGGGGAGACUGGAGUUCCUGGUGUAGCGGUGGAAUGCGCAGAUAUCAGGAGGAACACCGAUGGCGAAGGCAGGUCUCUGGGCUGUAACUGACGCUGAGAAGCGAAAGCAUGGGGAGCGAACAGGAUUAGAUACCCUGGUAGUCCAUGCCGUAAACGUUGGGCACUAGGUGUGGGGGACAUUCCACGUUUUCCGCGCCGUAGCUAACGCAUUAAGUGCCCCGCCUGGGGAGUACGGCCGCAAGGCUAAAACUCAAAGAAAUUGACGGGGGCCCGCACAAGCGGCGGAGCAUGCGGAUUAAUUCGAUGCAACGCGAAGAACCUUACCAAGGCUUGACAUAUACUGGACUGCGUCAGAGAUGGCGUUUCCCUUCGGGGCUGGUAUACAGGUGGUGCAUGGUUGUCGUCAGCUCGUGUCGUGAGAUGUUGGGUUAAGUCCCGCAACGAGCGCAACCCUCGUUCUAUGUUGCCAGCACGUGAUGGUGGGGACUCAUAGGAGACUGCCGGGGUCAACUCGGAGGAAGGUGGGGAUGACGUCAAAUCAUCAUGCCCCUUAUGUCUUGGGCUUCACGCAUGCUACAAUGGCCGGUACAGAGGGUUGCGAUACUGUGAGGUGGAGCUAAUCCCUAAAAGCCGGUCUCAGUUCGGAUUGGGGUCUGCAACUCGACCCCAUGAAGUCGGAGUCGCUAGUAAUCGCAGAUCAGCAACGCUGCGGUGAAUACGUUCCCGGGCCU